GUGGGGAAUAUUGGGCAAUGGACGCAAGUCUGACCCAGCAACGCCGCGUGAAGGAAGAAGGCUUUCGGGUUGUAAACUUCUUUUAAGGGGGAAGAGCAGAAGACGGUACCCCUUGAAUAAGCCACGGCUAACUACGUGCCAGCAGCCGCGGUAAUACGUAGGUGGCAAGCGUUGUCCGGAUUUACUGGGUGUAAAGGGCGUGCAGCCGGAGAGGCAAGUCAGAUGUGAAAUCCGCGGGCUCAACCCGCGAACUGCAUUUGAAACUGCUUCCCUUGAGUAUCGGAGAGGUAACCGGAAUUCCUAGUGUAGCGGUGAAAUGCGUAGAUAUUAGGAAGAACACCAGUGGCGAAGGCGGGUUACUGGACGACAACUGACGGUGAGGCGCGAAAGCGUGGGGAGCAAACAGGA
rnacentral:rRNA from 1 species